CUCCGGGGGGCGGGGUUAGCGGACGGCCUCGUGGCAGUCUCGAGACUCUGCUGCCCAGCAGGAAGGUGUCAUGUCUGCAGGUUUCCAACCUAAGCCGUUCCAUGAUUCCUGCCUUCUCCACGCCUGUCUGAAGGUCACCCUGUCAGAGAAGCUGAAGAGUCAGGAUUUGACUGAAACACGUCAUUGAAUAUUCUCUGAAUAUUGUCAUCUUUUACCACCCCACCACAUCCCUGAAAAUUGACCUGCUGUUCUGAAAACUUCACAUUUCUUCAGAGUGGGCAUUGUAGCCUGUUUGGAGAAGUCUGCUCGCCUGGAGACAGUAGAUGGAAAAUCUGUCUCUGGAAUAGAGAUCUUCUCUCUUACUGAGGUGAAAACAACUGAACAUAGGAUUGUAUUUUUGCCUCUUCCAAAGUGAACACGUAGAGG